rnacentral:rRNA from 1 species
CCCUUAGCUGUUCUGGGCCGCACGCGUGCUACACUGAGUGGAUCAGCGGGUCAGGUUGCGCGAAAGCGUUUCCUAAUCUUUAAAUCCGCUCGUGAUGGGGAUUGACGGUUGCAAUUUUCUGUCAUGAACGAGGAAUACCUUGUAAGCGCGGGUCAUCAUCCCGCGCUGAAUACGUCCCUGCCCUUUGUACACACCGCCCGUCGCUCCUACCGAUUGAGUGGUCCGGUGAGGCUUUGGGAUCUGAGCGGAAAGAGCGUUUCGCUGUUUCUGCUCGGAAAACUCAGUCGAACCUUAUCAUUUAGAGGAAGGAGAAGUCGUAACA